AGAGAGAGAGAGAGAGAGAGAGAGAGAGAUGGCGGGAGUGGGUGGUGCUGUAGGAGUACUGAUAUUGGACGAGUCUGUACUUUUGGGGCUGAUGAAGCAAAGCAAGACUUCCAAGAGACUGUAUGAACUAGAAUUUGGACUCCGUAUGUAUCGUACGGUCAUUUAAAUUGUUGACUAGGAUGGUUUUACUUUAGUUUCUAACUUUGCCAAAGCAUGAACAAGACUUGCGAGACACCCUGCAAUUCCUUUUCCUCUUAGGUAACGCUUUUCAGUUCUGGGUUUCUUGAAUGUUUGAUCAUGUUUUCCUUUUUAUCUAUGCUAGUUGGAAUCCAGAAAUUGAAUCAUUUGCUUCAAUUGGGUAAUCCGUAAUUGUCAUCAUAAAAUUUGAUUUGUUGUAUGUUGAGGCUCUGUGAUUAUAUGGGUGUUGUACUUCAUUAAACUUACUGUCUAUUUUUAUUUUUGUUUUCAUUAUACUUCAUGUGUUUGCCCCUUUUCUACAACUUGGCAGACGGAUGGAGAGAGA